rnacentral:rRNA from 1 species
GGGGGUAGAAUUCCAGGUGUAGCGGUGAAAUGCGUAGAGAUCUGGAGGAAUACCGGUGGCGAAGGCGGCCCCCUGGACAAAGACUGACGCUCAGGUGCGAAAGCGUGGGGAGCAAACAGGAUUAGAUACCCUGGUAGUCCACGCCGUAAACGAUGUCGAUUUGGAGGUUGUGCCCUUGAGGCGUGGCUUCCGGAGCUAACGCGUUAAAUCGACCGCCUGGGGAGUACGGCCGCAAGGUUAAAACUCAAAUGAAUUGACGGGGGCCCGCACAAGCGGUGGAGCAUGUGGUUUUAAUUCGAUGCAACGCGAAGAACCUUACCUGGUCUUGACAUCCACAGAACUUAGCAGAGAUGCUUUGGUGCCUUCGGGAACUGUGAGACAGGUGCUGCAUGGCUGUCGUCAGCUCGUGUUGUGAAAUGUUGGGUUAAGUCCCGCAACGAGCGCAACCCUUAUC